GUAUCACCGUCAGAUUCACGGUAAAACGCGUUUGCUAGAGAGAGGUUUCCACACCCUUAUAAAAGAGUGUUUCGUUCCCAUCUCCAACCGAUGUGGGAUCUUCCAGAAGGUGUAGUUUUCAGACUACAGGAUCUUGAGCUGAUAAUUUGUAAAAAUGUGCCUCGGACUAUAUCAAUGGGAAACGUAUACGAGGCGCAUGACUACCUGCUCAACCUCAGGUUAUUCUUUUAUACUGCCAAGGAUUAUAAUAUGAGUUGCUUGCGCAGUUUAGUUUUCUUCAUACACAAGAGUUGCUUCCUUAGCGAUUCUACGUAGAUGGGAUCUUAAUCAACAUGGUUGUUGGGGGUGAAGUGGUAACACUCGAAAGCAUUGAAGGAAGUAGUGGGCUUGUUAUUGCUUAGAUGCCCGUUAAUGUAAGUGUUUUACUACUUUCUUUGAUCUUCAUGCGCAUUGAUGGAUAUAAAUUUUGCCAAGGAAACCAGUCCCAAAUAAUUAUUCCUGAAUUUUAGUUGGCCUUUUUCCUAUAGAACAAAAAAGUCGCAUCCUAGUGUCGCUUCUUUGUUUUAUUUACAAUUGCUGAACUUGGAAAGAGACCGUGUUGCAGAUUUCUGAAAUUUGUGAGGAUGUCUGCUAUGAUGGAACACCUUCUGAGGACAACGCAGAAGGUUUUCCUGUUGUACCAUCUUUUGGCCCAUAACACUGGAUUACAAUGGCCGGGAAAUACGUUAUCCUGUGCUUGAUAAGGUGUUUAGCUACCAAUUUAGCAUUUCAACUAUAAAGUAUGUUGGUUGAUUUGUACCUAGGAGAGAGCUUUCCAGUUUAGUUUAGUAAACACGGGCUAUUGCCAUAUGAAUGGAAUGCUGAGAUAUGUGGUGUUUUAUGAUUUUGGGUCA